rnacentral:rRNA from 1 species
AACGAAACGGUCUGCCCUAAUACGGCGGGCUAAUGACGGUACCGUAAGAAUAAGCACCGGCUAACUACGUGCCAGCAGCCGCGGUAAUACGUAGGGUGCAAGCGUUAAUCGGAAUUACUAGGGCGUAAAGCGUGCGCAGGCGGUUAUAUAAGACAGAUGUGAAAUCCCCGGGCUCAACCUGGGAACUGCAUUUGUGACUGUAUGGCUAGAGUACGGCAGAGGGGGAUGGAAUUCCGCGUGUAGCAGUGAAAUGCGUAGAUAUGCGGAGGAACACCGAUGGCGAAGGCAAUCCCCUGGGCCUGUACUGACGCUCAUGCACGAAAGCGUGGGGAGCAAACAGGAUUAGAUACCCUGGUAGUCCACGCCCUAAACGAUGUCAACUGGUUGUUGGGGUCUUCACUGACUCAGUAACGAAGCUAACGCGUGAAGUUGACCGCCUGGGGAGUACGGCCGCAAGGUUGAAACUACAAAGGAAUUGACGGGG